UCGUCGUUCACUGGGCUUGUGUGUAUAUCUAAAACCCCAAAGAGGACCUGGAUUUAUUCACCAUCCAGAGAAAUGAAAGAUUCAGAGAAGUCCCACUAUGAUAAGGAUCCAUGUCAGAUUGUUGCUAAGAUGCCUAGAGUAUUGGAUCAAGGGAAAAUUAGCAAUUAGUAGGAAUUCAAGGGCAGAAAAUUAACUAUUGUAGCAUUGGUCAUUUAAUGUUGGAUAAAGAAUGACAAGAAAAAUGAGGCUGCUGAAGACUGGAACGGCGAUUGAGAUAUUGUCUACAGUCUUCUUGAAAUAGAGGAGACUGGGACAAGUUGAUGAUGCUUACAAGAACUCAUGAACUGAGAACUUCAAUAAGAGAGAUCUUACCCUUGAGAGUUGUAAUUUUUGUGGAAUAAAUAGCUCUGUUUGGGAUGUACAUAAAACUGAAUUUCUGAAUGAUGUGACAGCAAGCCAGAGAGCAAAGAGUAUUAAUGCAUUGACUUUAGGGAGCUGCUUUUCUUCAUACUUACAGGGUUAUAAGGCCCCUUCAAGUUUCUCUGCCUUCUGAUUUGCCCAGGGAGAAAUUGUGAGAGACUUUCCAGAGCUGAGGUUCGAGAAUAUGAAAGAUUUCUUCAGUUUGAGAGAGAGCAAAGCUUUUAUUUGCAA